CACGACGGGAACUCCAAGAAUUUAAAAUAAUCUUUUUAUUAUUCUGUGUAUUAGACUGUUUUGCUUUUAACUGUAUCUGUUUUGAAUACAUUUUAAGAAUAAGAGAUUUGAAGAGAGUGAAACCCAAGUAAGAAAGCUGCAGUGAGGACCUAAAUGUAAAGGGAAUGAGUAGUUUGUUUCUAAGUCUGUAAACAUUUGUGAGUUAUCCUGGAGAUCUAAAAGAUUUAGUAGGCACUAACUUUUACAGAUUGUGUGGUACAAAUUAUGCCAACAAAAAUUUUCAGCCAAUUUGUCCUCUGUUUUGUCAAGAUUCUGUUUUAUGUCUUAAAUUUUGAGUCAAAGUUGAUCAGAAUAUUAGAGCCAGUUGUAAAAGGUGAUUUGAAAGUCACAACUUCUGUGACUGGGGUUGCCCUGGGCCACCUGACUGGGUGUCCAUAAAGUAAAUUACUGUUGCUUUUUCCUUUUUUUCCGACAAGUCACAGGGUAGCACCUUUCACCUAAGCAGCCUUCCUUGUGCUGAGGAAACCUAGGAGGCAUUUCAAAAAAAGCUGACCUGUUGCAAUGCCACAGGAUUCAGGAUAAGAAAAGUACUUCAGCUUCAAAUUCAGACACAGAAAUGAAACCUGAACAACAG